GAUAACUGAAACAGUAGCCGCACAAAUCACAGCUAAGACAGAAAACGUAGAGUUGGAGGUUUACUCACCUGAUGAAUUUUUCCACAUACUGUAUUUAAAGGAUGACUUUUAAAUGUGAUUUGAAGCUUUCAGUGAAGAUGCCUGUGGAGGCUUUGCCAGGCUGGAACUACAUUUCCCAGAAUCCUCUUCCCUAUUUUCCACGUUACAAUUGGCCACAAGAGAAGGGAGGAGUUGAAGCAGAAGCCACAUGGCUCUGAGCGUCAGCAGAGGGGCAGGUGCUAUGCGGUUCUCACACAUCAACGCUGAUUUGCUGGCUCACAUUGCUGGCAUGACAGCUGUUCAACAGCUAGGAAGCAAGGUGUAUGCUGGGGAAAGCCACAGGCUGGCCUUCAAGGGACAAGGACCAUCAAGCCUCUGUACAUGGAUUGUGGACCCAAGAGGACAUAGACAGUCCAGAGAGAUGUUUGCAAAGGAUCCAGGAAAAUAACAUCCCUUGUAUCGCUCUCCUUGAGACAUUGUCCCAGGAUCUCUUUGACCAGAAUACUUUGAUCUGGAUCCUGGAGGAAGUAGCUGAUUUCUCUCAUUCUUGAAGCCACAUAUCAUCUGGGCCUCUCACAUUGGCUGUGGGCCCAGAGCCCACUCUUCUUUGCCCCUGCUUUUUUGCUCCCCACUCCUCUCAGGGAAACUCCUGGCUAAACCGUCCUCAACUCAUAGGACCACUCAAUCCCUUGUUAUCACCUGAAGGUGGAUGCAGAACAUUAGUCUGAAGAUGGUGGCACACCCUGGAAGGUCCUGGACAUCCCUGACCAGCAUCAUUGACCUUGGAUGUCACCAGACCCUUUCCCAGGCUCCUCCCACUCUGCACUGGGGGCUGGGAUUCCCUCUUGCACUGGAGCCUGGACCAGGACCUCUGAGGACAUCUGAGCAGUGGGACAUGAUUCUUUAGGGUCUGUGCAAGCAUCUGAGGCAGAAGAAGAGAUGGCGUCCUAGGUGAUAUGAAGGCAGCAGCCAACCAUUCAUUCAUUCAUUCAUUCAUUCUCCAAAUACUUCCUGAGUAUCUCCGUGUUGGGGAUGCUAGAGACAAGAAGGGAUACAAUUGACCUGCUGCAAGCCUGUGAGAUGCUCCCACCCAGUGGAGUCACUUCCUCCUCAAAUGCCCAGUCCUGUCAGGCUUCAAAGCUGCAGUCACUGAUGCUGAGUGUGACUGAGGUGGGAGAGGGCAGGUGUGGAGGACAGCAAGUGCUUACCAUCCUGGACACCUGGUGGACUGGCCCUGAGUUAACAUCCGUGCUCAUCUUCCUCUACUUUAUACAUGG